CACUUGAAACCACUUUAUCGCCAUUUCUGUGACUCACUGUGACUUCAACAAAACUGCCGACGUAGUUUACUCCGUCUGCACCUCUGUGCAUGUGUGUGUGUGUGUGUGUGUGUGUGUGUGUGUGUGUGUGUGUAUGUGUGUGCGUGUGCGUGCGCGUGUGUGUUUUCAUCGCAGGGAAAGUCCUUCCCACAUUUCAGAUCUCCAUAUGGGAAAACAAAAUUAUUACAAGUACUACGAGAGGCAUGGAAGGUACACCUACUUCAUUUUCUUCCUCUAAUUUUUUUUUUUUAACGUGUAAUUUAAUUUAAUCACAUUUCUGCGGUUGUAUGGAGGAAGCCAGUGGCCAGCUGGAGAUGAGUUCAAGUUAUGUUUGCUGGCGUACCAUUUAGUACUCUUGAUGGAUGCAAAACAUUUUUUUUAGAUGUAAAGUUUCAUCUCCUCAAUUUCUUUCUUGUCUUGAUUUCUUUUUAUACUUAAGUACUGUGCAUAUGAUAUGCAUGUUUCAAUCAUCAAUGGGAUUUAAAAGGAGAACGCGUACUUGCUGUUUACAGAAAGUGGAGAUACAUGUACAUACGUUUUUGUAUGUUUAAAGAAAAAAAAAGAAGCUAUACCAUGACUACUCAGGUUUAGAGCUGCUUGUAAGUAUAACUAUAAUACCUAGAAAAGACUUAUUUUGUUGAUCAAUGGAUUGGGCAUCAUCGGGUGAAUGAUUCCAGUGGUGUGUGCUUCUUACCUUCCUACAGGGGGUGCUGUACUGUUCUUUUCCAUCACAGGGAAUAUCAGUUGAUGCCCUCAGUAACACAGGCAACAUCCAAAACCUACUUAUCACAUCAGAGCGAUGCAAUUUGUACCAAAAAUAUAAUUUUUUUUUGGACCUAUAAGUAAACCUUAAGCUGGAUGCCAAAGGUUGUGCCUCAAAAAGAAAUGGUAGUAGUGUGCUAUUAAAAUUUACAUAACCCUUUUUUCUUUGAAGUGCAUCAGACAUAAUUUCAUGACAUGAAGCUGUGGCCCUUAGAUGUCAGCCCAUAAAGGGGAUACAUGUAAGUAUUAUUCAAUCAGCCAUUAACAUUGUAUGAUGUAUUUAAAAAAAAUCCCAGCAACAGUUGUCACAAGAGUGACCAAUUGUCCAAAUGCAACAUGACCUGCUGGAUAUUUUGUCACUGAUGUCCUUAUCCAAUUGGUUGAAUUUACAUUUGCAGCCAUGUACCUGUCCGGACACGUCUUCACAUGAUUUUCAUACAUUAAACGCUAUAUUGUUCUCAAAUCUUGA